rnacentral:rRNA from 1 species
UAACACGUGCGCGAGUCGCAGGGUUGUACGAAACCCGAGGGCGUAACGAAAGUGAACGAGAUCUUCGGAUCUAUCAGGUGGGAUCCCGAAGCCUUCGGCAACGGGCGCACCACCGGCCUGUCUCGGCCGCCACGCCGGCGAGGCGGAGCAAGAGCGUACGCGUUGGGACCCGAAAGAUGGUGAACUAUGCCUGAGCAGGAUGAAGCCAGAAGAAAUUCUGGUGGAAGUCCGCAGCGAUUCUGACGUGCAAAUC